CCUACGGGUGGCAGCAGUGGGGAAUAUUGCACAAUGGGGGAAACCCUGAUGCAGCGACGCCGCGUGAGUGAAGAAGUAAUUCGUUACGUAAAGCUCUAUCAGCAGGGGAGAAAAUGACGGUACCUGAGUAAGAAGCCGCGGCUAACUACGUGCCAGCAGCCGCGGUAAUACGGAGGGGGCAAGCGUUAUCCGGAUUUACUGGGUGUAAAGGGAGCGUAGACGGUGCGCCAAGUCUGGAGUGAAAGGCCGCAGCUUAACGGCGGAACUGCUUUGGAAACUGGCGUACUAGAGUGCGGGAGGGGUAGGCGGAAUUCCUGGUGUAGCGGUGAAAUGCUUAGAUAUUAGGAAGAACCCCGAUGGCGAAGGCAGCUUACUGGACCGUAACUGACGUUGAGGCUCGAAAGCGUGGGGAGCAAACAGGAUUAGAUACCCGGGUAGUC
rnacentral:rRNA from 1 species